AGGCAUCACAGGCAAAGAGGGAAGCCCCUGCUCUCCCAACGUCAAAGCCAAACCAAAGGCUCUAAAGGCCAAAACAGCAGUGCUGAAAGGUAUCCGUAUCCACAGCCACACAAAAAAGAGAAGAUCUUCACGUCACCCACCUAAGGACAGCCCAAAACACUGCUGCUGUUCUGGAGGCAGCCCAAAUAUCCUUGGAAGACUGGUCCAGUCCAGGAGAAACCAGCUUGACCACUAUGCUAUCAAGUUUCCCCUGACCACUGAGUCAGCCAUGAAAAGAACAGAAAGUCAACAACAUUCUUGUGUUCACUGUGGAUGUCAAGGCCAACAAAUACCAGAUCAAACAGGCUAAGAAAAAGCUCUGUGGCACUGACAUGGCCAAUAUCAACACCCUGAUCAGGCCUGAUGGAAAGAAGGCCCAUGUUCUACCGGUUCCUGACUAUGAUGACGUUGCCAACAAAAUUGGGAUCAUCU
rnacentral:lncRNA from 1 species